UCACACAGCCAUGACACCCUGCAGCCCAAGACCGGUUACUCACUAAAGCUAAGCAAGGCUGAGCCUGGUAAGUAAGUACUUGGAUAGGAGACCACAUAGAAAAAGUAGGUUGCUGUUAAAA
rnacentral:rRNA from 1 species